GGUACCACCACCUCCAGGGCCACAAGAGGGUGCUUUCCUCCUUUCAGGUUAUGCCUUUUUGAAAUGCAGCUCUUCAGACUUCUUAGAGGAAUUCAGUCAUGCAGCUUGAAGAAUGAUCUUAAGGGUGGUACUUUUACACUCAACCUUCAAUGAUUUCAGAGACUUGGAGAAAGGGGAACAGGACCUAUAUUUGAACCAUGAUGUCAUGCAAUUAUGUACAGCACAGGCACAUGCGUGGCUGGGAAGUGUCUAUGGGUUGAUUCCUUUGUGAAUUAUAUGGAGCUGACGCAGCUGAAACCCACAGUGACCCAGAUGAGGAGAGAAGCUGGUCCUGAAAGAGUGGCUUCCGCCCCUAUGUUGGUUAAGAAUCCACCUGCCAAUGCAGGGGACAGAAGUUUGAUCCCUCGUCCGGGAAGAUCCCACAUGCCGCGGAGCAACUAAGCCCAUGUGCCACAACUGCCAAGCCUGUGCUCUCGAGCCCGCGAGCCACAACUCCUGAGUCCGUGUGCCACAACUACAUGCCCAUGCACAUAGAGCCCACGUUCCACAACAAGAGAAGCCACUGCAAUGAGAAGCCUACACACCGCAAUGAAGAGUAGCCCCUGCUUGCCACAACUAGAGAAAGCCCACGUGCAGCAAUGAAGACCCAAUGCA